GAUGAACGCUGGCGGCGUGCCUAAUACGUGCAAGUCGAGCGAACAGACGAGGAGCUUGCUCCUCUGACGUUAGCGGCGGACGGGUGAGUAACACGUGGAUAACCUACCUAUAAGACUGGGAUAACUUCGGGAAACCGGAGCUAAUACCGGAUAACAUGUUGAACCGCAUGGUUCAACAGUGAAAGACGGUCUUGCUGUCACUUAUAGAUGGAUCCGCGCCGCAUUAGCUAGUUGGUAAGGUAACGGCUUACCAAGGCAACGAUGCGUAGCCGACCUGAGAGGGUGAUCGGCCACACUGGAACUGAGACACGGUCCAGACUCCUACGGGAGGCAGCAGUAGGGAAUCUUCCGCAAUGGGCGAAAGCCUGACGGAGCAACGCCGCGUGAGUGAAGAAGGUCUUCGGAUCGUAAAACUCUGUUAUUAAGGAAGAACAAAUGUGUAAGUAACUAUGCACGUCUUGACGGUACCUAAUCAGAAAGCCACGGCUAACUACGUG
rnacentral:rRNA from 1 species